rnacentral:rRNA from 1 species
UACGGAGGGUGCAAGCGUUAUCCGGAUUUACUGGGUUUAAAGGGUGCGUAGGUGGGUUGGUAAGUCAGUGGUGAAAUACUUUCGCUUAACGAAGGAACUGCCAUUGAUACUACCAGUCUUGAAUACAGUGGAGGUAGGCGGAAUGCGUCAUGUAGCGGUGAAAUGCUUAGAUAUGACGCAGAACACCAAGUGCGAAGGCAGCUGGGUACACUGUUAUUGACACUGAGGCACGGAAGCGUGGGGAUCAAACAGG